UACAGAGGUCUCGAGCGUUAGGCGGAAUCACUGGGCUUAAAGCGUGUGUAGGCGGAUCGUUAAGUGCCUUGUGAAAUCCCACGGCUCAACCGUGGAACUGCUUGGCAUACUGGCGGUCUUGAGCAACCUAGGGGCGAGCGGAACAAAUGGUGGAGCGGGUGAAAUGCGUAGAUAUCAUUUGGAACGCCAAUGGGUGAAAAACAGCUCGCUGGGGGUUUGCUGACGCUGAGACGACGAAAGCCAGGGGAGCAAACGGG
rnacentral:rRNA from 1 species